AAGAAGCAGGGUGGUUAAAUUAGCGUGCUGGAAUCUUUUCAGUUUGUCGCAGAGUAGAAAAAUAAAAAAGGAAAAAAAAAAAGGGCUCAGUAAUUUAAAUUUGCUCUCAGUUCAGCCUGCAUCGCUGGGUCCCGCCCCUUCUUCCCGCUGGGUUCUACUACCUGCAAGGCUGGAACUGACAGCUACUGUGCAAACAAAAAAAAAGGCAACAAGCAUGCUGGGACCAUUCUGUCUGCUGUUUGGGGCUCACUUGUCCUGACAACUAAAAAUUAUCCGUGGAAAGAUGAGGGAGCUGUGGGCUCCCUUGGUACUGAAGCUAUCACAAGUCUGCAGAUCCCAUGCACCAUCUACAACUUGGCCUCCUGACCUCAAGUACUGUUUCAUAAUGGGAUGCAGCACCGGUUCUUCUAAUAAAGAUGGACUUUCCUUGGCUCUUUCUGCUACUCUGAGAGUGUCAUGAUAGUUGGCCUUGUCCCAUAGUUGGGAUGUGGUAGAUGUAGGAGUAAAAGGUACCACUCUACGUUCUUUGCCACUGGAUGAAAACAUGGAAGAGGGAUACUCCUGAUGGUAUGAUAGUGUUUAAUCUGCUAUUUGCUUGAUAGUCUUUGCAUUUUUAAAAAUAUUUCCCCUUAUCACCAUUCCUGCCUUACAUGUAGAAUCCCUUAAUGUCACGCAUGGGCUGUGUUAACGCACUCCACUAUCCACAAUCUGACUUUCAAAAGCUAAAUUAUUAGUGUAAAUUAAAUAAAUAUUUAAUCAUAUAAAUUGGCAAAUAUGUAACUGAAUAUCGGAUACAUGUACUCUCAUUGGAGGUUAUCAUAAAAACAAAUUAAAAAUGGAAAGGUCUGAGGAGGUGAAAUUCAAAAGGACAUAAUUUCCUUGAAUUAUAACCUUCACUGGGAUUAUUUCUUGUAUUACUGCUAUCAAUGAAUGCCUUUGCUCAGUUCCCACUAAUAGCUAAAGCAUGGAAAAUAAGGCAGGUCAAGCACUGAAGAAGCCAUGUUGACUUCCCAGGUAGUUAGGCAAUCAGCUGUAAUCAAACAGUGGUAAAUUACACCAACGUGCUAAUUAUGGUACUUUGUCACAGCAUAAGAUGCAAUAAAACCAACCCAUGCCUCAGU